rnacentral:rRNA from 1 species
GACGAACGCUGGCGGCGUGCUUAACACAUGCAAGUCGAACGGAAAGGCCCUGCUUUUGUGGGGUGCUCGAGUGGCGAACGGGUGAGUAACACGUGAGUAACCUGCCCUUGACUUUGGGAUAACUUCAGGAAACUGGGGCUAAUACCGGAUAGGAGCUCCUGCUGCAUGGUGGGGGUUGGAAAGUUUCGGCGGUUGGGGAUGGACUCGCGGCUUAUCAGCUUGUUGGUGGGGUAGUGGCUUACCAAGGCUUUGACGGGUAGCCGGCCUGAGAGGGUGACCGGCGACAUGGGGAUGGAGAGCGGCACGAUGUGCAUGGGGAAGGCAGGGAUGGAGAAAUGGGCACAAGGGGCGGAGGCAGGGAGCACGAGCGGCGGGCGGGGAGUGGAUGCGUCAGGGUGAAAAGCCGCUUGCGCAGGGGGAGAGGUGGGAGUGGCGGAAAGGGGUAAAUCGACGCCGGCUAAUGACGGGGCAGCAGCCGGGUAAUAUAGCAGAACACCUUUGAUC